rfam:Lentisphaerae bacterium GWF2_57_35 gwf2_scaffold_1937, whole genome shotgun sequence.
GAGAGCCGGAUGCGGGAAAUCUGCACGUCCGGUUCGGAGGGAGGGGCGGCUCAACCCAAUGAGCCGUCCCUACCCCUAU